GAUGAAGAACGUAGCGAAAUGCGAUAAGUAAUGUGAAUUGCAGAAUUCAGUGAAUCAUCGAAUCUUUGAACGCACAUUGCGCCCGCCAGCAUUCUGGCGGGCAAGCCUGUUCGAGCGUCAUUUCAACCCUCGAGCCCCCCCGGGGGCCUCGGUGUUGGGGGACGGCACACCAGCCGCCCCCGAAAUGCAGUGGCGACCCCGCCGCAGCCUCCCCUGCGUAGUAGCACACACCUCGCACCGGAGCGCGGAGGCGGUCACGCCGUAAAACGCCCAACUUUCUUAGAGUUGACCUCGGAUCAGGUAGGAAUACCCGCUGAACUUAAGCAUAUCAAUAAGCGGAGGA
rnacentral:misc_RNA from 1 species